UACGUAGGGUGCGAGCGUUAAUCGGAAUUACUGGGCGUAAAGCGUGCGCAGGCGGUUUUGUAAGACAGGCGUGAAAUCCCCGGGCUUAACCUGGGAACUGCGUUUGUGACUGCAAGACUAGAGUACGGCAGAGGGGGGUAGAAUUCCACGUGUAGCAGUGAAAUGCGUAGAUAUGUGGAGGAAUACCGAUGGCGAAGGCAGCCCCCUGGGUCGAUACUGACGCUCAUGCACGAAAGCGUGGGGAGCAAACAGGAUUAGAUACCCUGGUAGUCCACGCCCUAAACGAUGUCAACUAGGUGUUGGGGAAGGAGACUUCUUUAGUACCGCAGCUAACGCGAUAAGUUGACCGCCUGGGGAGUACGGUCGCAAGAUUAAAACUCA
rnacentral:rRNA from 1 species